AGACCAGUGCCCCGAGUGGCAAAGGGAGCAGCCUCUUAAGCUGCUGGCGAAAGCCUUCGUGAGUUCGAGUCUCACCUGGUCUUCCA
rnacentral:tRNA from 1 species